UGAAGGGGGAAGGUAGUGUAGCUGUUCUCUGUGUCUCAGUGCCAACAGCUUUUUGAUAUCUAUCUUGUAUAUCGUUACUCUAACUUUAUAUAUGAAGAUCUGGUAGACACUGGCCACUCGAGUCUGAAGACCUAUAAAGCAUAGGUCCCUAAAAGACCCUUAAACCCCGAAAAGGAUAAUUAAACCUCAUAAUAGAUCCUCAGAGGGAUACUUAAACCCCCCUAAAAGACCCUUAAACUUCCCUAAAAGACCAUUAAAACCCCUUAAAAGACCCUUAAACACCUCUUACAGACCCUUAAGCCCCCCUUAAAGACUAUGACCGUCAUCAGGCUCCAUAAGGGCUUCCGGGGGUUUAUCAAGGACCUGAUCAACCCUGAUACUCUGAUCUUCAAGCUCAUCUACUUCCUCUAUCUAGCAGGAGUGGUGAUAAUAUGGCCGCAACUGACGAUUCACCAGCAAGCUUUAGGCCUGACCACUUCCCAGACUGGCGUCUUCAGUAUGGUGAUAUCUGGGAUCACUGUUAUCAUGCCCAUAUUUGCUGGCAUCAUUGGGGACAAACUGGGCAGCUACAAGGUGGGUAUAUGUGGGAUUCUGUUGGG